AGUCGCUAAAACCAGGAAGCUGAAUGUUGCUAUUGAUACCACAGCAACGGGUGAAAGCUAACUUAUUCCUAUACAGAACGCUGGAACUGGUUUUGGAGGAGAAUUAAAAAAACAAAACAAAAAAAAACGUCUUUCUUCGAACUAUGAUUCUUGAGGCCUGAUCAUUUUAGACACCUUCAAGACAUAAACAUGGAAGAAAACCUCUCCUGUGGGGAAUCAGUUAAUUCUACAUCCCUCCCACCGCAUGAGCUACUAAUUCUGCACACUGCUGAGGCACAGGAAUGGGCAACAUAUUUGCAGCAGAUCCUGCAGAAGUCCUCCAGGAAGUUCCACAAAAGCUCACUUUUGCUUUAUACCAUUGGCCCAGCUGAUCGUGGGUACAACUUUGAAAAUGUCCACAGCUUCAAUUGCAUUGUGCUGCUCCUCACUGGAGCAUUCAUAGACUUCAUGUCUGAGCCUGAACUGCAUGGAGCCCUUCAGAGGCUGCUCCACCCAUCACACAGAGUGGUGGCGCUGUUGUGUGGCGUCUCCGAAGAAGACAUACUGACGGCUGAUGGCUUUGAAGAAUGGUCCAGUUGGAGGAAACUUCACGCUGAGGAUGAACCUGCUAUCUAUGUCUCGACGAUUUUGGAGACCAUCACUAACAGCAAGCUACAGGCUGAACAUGUGAUCAAAUACACAGCCUCAGAACAGCCGCACAUCACACGAGCCUCUUCAAGUGAAGAUCCCACCACAGAUGAGACACGGGAAGUGAUGUCAGACGAGUGUCGAAAAAGAACCUUGAAGGAUGAUGAACUUGUGACCGUCAGUCUUUCAGUAACCAAGGAAAUGAAUCCACGCUCACACAUCAACUGCCUCACUGUCCAACCAACCCGACUUUUGUGUGGAGUGGAGGAAAGCAUUUUUAUCAUCUUUUCCGAUAAAGUAGAUGAUCUCUCAUCACCAGAGGUGGAGUUUUCUUCUGAAAAUAACCCAACAAAAAUAGUUCCAUGCACUGUUGAGAAUGAGUACACCAUAAGUCUAACUGCACCCGAAAUGCAAGCAGGGGUGGUAUCACUCACUCUGUGCUCUACUCAGCCACGUAUAAGCUUGAAAUGUGUCACAUACUAUACCAACAUGGGAGAAGUCAGUCAGUGUCUUGAAAAUGCUGCAGAUCCCAUAAAUUUCCUCUGCCAGGCUUUCAAUUUGAUGUCCAAUUCAAUUGAGUUUUUGGACAACAUUCUAACUGACUCAAUAAAAUCCAAGAUGCCAGCAUGUCUGCAGCUGUUUGGGAUCAGACAGAUUGAGGAGCACAAUAUGGCAGCAUAUAAGCGUAGUGAGGAACUUCCCACGCUGCUCCACUUUGCUGCGAAGUACGGCCUGAAGAAGCUGACGAGGGUCCUCCUUCGGAUUCCUGGGGCGCUGCAAGCUUACAGCGUGAUGAACAAGAACGGAGAUUAUCCAAAUACGCUGGCGGAAAAGAGUGGCUUCCCAGAUCUCCGACAGUUUAUUGAUGAAUUUGUUACUGCAGAUAUGCUCAAAUCUCACAAAGAAGGUGCAGAUGAGAGUACAGAGGACUAUGAAGAGAUGUCAACUACCAAGUACUCAAGUUGCCCCAAUGACAUGUAUGUGUCAAUGCUGAGCAUAAACCCUGAGUGUGCUGAUGACCUAUAUGAAGUUAUGAAUGAAGUCGUGGAAAACCCUGAGGAAGCUAUGUUGAGGACAUUUUUUCAAGCAAAACCUCACAACAGUGUAGCCCUGGAUGAGGGAGAGCAACUUAAAUGUGAGCAAAUGGAAAACGCAGAAGCAAAUGACCUGAACGAAAUUGUCAAUGAGUUCGAACCGUACAACCUCUCCAGUGAAGACAUCUAUCAUACUUUGGAUGACAAUAAUUGCCACAAUGCAGCAGUCCUGUCCCGACCACCAGCCCCGAUCCCCAGACCUGAAAUUGAGCCUGAACCUGAAAAACCUGUAACCUAUAUUGCAAGAGUAUUUUCAGAUAAAGCUAUGUCCCAAAGUCAAGCCAUGGAAACAUAUCAGGAAGCUGCAGCUCAGCCUGCGAUGGACUCCUCCAUACCUGUAUAUGACGCUUUUGCUGGCAUGAAGACGCUCGGUCAGAGACAGCUUAUAACCCUGCAGGAGAGGGUAAAAGUGGGAGAAAUUACUGUGGAUGAAGCUGUCUGUGCAUUCAAAGCUUGGCAGCUGGACCAUGAGAGCAGAGCAACCUCAGUGCGCUAUCAGCAGGAUAAUCUUAGAAGAUUAAGAAAGAGCAUCAACAGGCGUCACAAUGAGAGAGAAAAGGCAGGAAAGGAUCUUGACUAUGAGAUAAGUGCCCCACUGCAAAGAAACUCCUUUUGGGGGGCCACUGUGACAUUGGAGUGUCCUGUAUAUGACGGAACACCCAGAAUGGUGCCUCCAUCCUCCUCAGCAGCUCAAUUUAUCCAAAGAGGCAGCUGGAAGACAGGGAGCACAUCCAGUACAUCCAGUAGUGAGAGCAACAGACUUAGCACUCACAGCAACGUAAGCUACAGUAGCGGGACAGAGCCAGAUUUCGAGGACUCUUUAGAAAACCUCCCCCUUCCACCACGACCUUCCGAUGCAGCUCCACUAAUUCCACCCAGAAUUCCGCCACGAAAUUCACAAAGCUCCAAUAGCUUCCAGUCUUCUGGGAAGACUUUCUACACAUUUGAUCGGGUUGAGGUCAGGAUCAUCAAAACCCAUUCUCAUCAAACCAUGCCUUUAUGAUGCUGGAUCCCACUACUUUGGAGGCCUAAAGAAUUCCACCUACAAAGCUUCAACAAUUAGUGUCCUCAGUUCCCAAACGUUUAUUGAAUGUUGUUCAAAGAAAAGCAUGUCAGAUAAAAUGUUGCCCGAGCCUUACGUCCCCUGCCCGACCCGAGCACCACCUCAAAGACCUCCUCAAAGACAC